rnacentral:rRNA from 1 species
UACGUAGGGUGCAAGCGUUGUCCGGAAUUAUUGGGCGUAAAGAGCUCGUAGGCGGUCUGUCGCGUCGGCUGUGAAAACCCGGAGCUCAACUCCGGGCCUGCAGUCGAUACGGGCAGACUGGAGUGUUGCAGGGGAGACUGGAAUUCCUGGUGUAGCGGUGAAAUGCGCAGAUAUCAGGAGGAACACCGGUGGCGAAGGCGGGUCUCUGGGCAACAACUGACGCUGAGGAGCGAAAGCGUGGGGAGCGAACAGG